GAGUUUGAUCGUGGCUCAGAUUGAACGCUGGCGGCAUGCCUUACACAUGCGAGUCGAACGGCGGCACGGGAGCUUGCUCCUGGCGGCGAGUGGCGAACGGGUGAGUAAUGCAUCGGAACGUAUCCUGGAGUGGGGGAUAACGUAGCGAAAGUUACGCUAAUACCGCAUAUUCUGUGAGCAGGAAAGCGGGGGACCUUCGGGCCUCGCGCUCUUGGAGCGGCCGAUGUCGGAUUAGCUAGUUGGUGAGGUAAAGGCUCACCAAGGCGACGAUCCGUAGCAGGUCUGAGAGGAUGAUCUGCCACACUGGAACUGAGACACGGUCCAGACUCCUACGGGAGGCAGCAGUGGGAAUUUUGGACAAUGGGGGCAACCCUGAUCCAGCCAUGCCGCGUGAGUGAAGAAGGCCUGGUGUAAGUACGUCUUCGUCGAGGAGGAAAG
rnacentral:rRNA from 1 species